GGGAGAAGAGGGGCGCUUUGCCCGCCGAGCGGCGAGGCUGCAGCCACGGGGUUUCUGCCUGCCGAUUGCCUCCCUCCCACGCCCCCGAGCCAUUGUUAGGAGGUGGAAAAUAGGAAUGCUUGCGGUGAUACUGAUGUUGGCAUACCGGUUCUCCACGUCACGCCUCCUCUACUCUAAAACAAAAGCAGUACCAAGUUUGCAGCCCUUGAAUCAACUGAAUGGGGGACCUUCAAACAGAACUGGAAAAAAAAACAGCUGCUAGAUAUUUCACUACCUGGCAAGCAAGAGCUAAAUUAGAAUCUGGAUUCUCUCCCCAUUUCUCACUCUGUUUAUAACUUGCUAAUUCACCUGCUAACCCCAAGGGACAUUUAAAAAAAAGCUUACAAGCAAGAUGUAAAUGCAGACUACGGAAAGAUUCCCACCAGAAAAUUCAAUGGAGUUUAAACCCAAAUAAUCUUAUUAUUUGAGCAUACUUAUAAAUAGCAUACUUAUUUAUAAAAUAUUAUCUGGAAUUCCUGGAAAAAGAUUUUGAUGCUCUGCUAAGAAACAUGAUGCUGGACCUACCACUUCAUUAAGACUAUGCAGAAGCCCAGGUUAAAGCCACAUAUUUCUGACAUCCUAAAGGUGCUUUUCAGGAGGCAACUGGACUUUCUUGUUUUUUCUUUGAAGACAUUUCGUUUCUUAUCCAAGAAGCUUCUUCAGCUCUGACUGGAUGGUGGGGAAGGAUUUAAGCGAAAUGUCCAGUUGCCUCCUGAAAAAACACCUUUGGGACAACCAUGACCUGGAUGACUGAGAAUCUUUACAGACUUUUAGCUAUGCAAUUUGGGAUGAAUUACCCUUUGAACGGUGUGGGAGUAUGAAUGGAUUUCCAGAAAAAAUGCAGGCUACAGGAACUCAGGUGACCCUGAGGACAUAGGUAAACCUCCAAGUGCUUCAACAACCCUGUAAAAGGAUGCAAGUGACCAGCUGUCUGCAAAGAAUAUAAAUCCUUCUAUUCCACACCAUCUGGUCAGAGCUGAAGAAACUUCUUGGAUUAGAAGUAAAAUGUCUUCAAAGAAAAAACAAGAAAGUCCAGUUGCCUCCUGAAAAAGCACCUUUGGGACAAUCAUGACCUGGAUGACUGAGAAUCUCUACAGACUAUUUCUGACAUGUUCUCUGAUAAAGGGCAAAUUGUUAAAAUAAAGCUGACAAAACUGCAGUCAAAUG
rnacentral:lncRNA from 1 species